GGGCUUUGGCGGAUGCUUAACAUGCAGUCGACGGCAGCACGGGGGCAACCCUGGUGGCGAGUGGCGAACGGGUGAGUAACAUAUCGGAACGUGCCCUGGAGUGGGGGAUAACUAGUCGAAAGAUUAGCUAAUACCGCAUACGAUCUACGGAUGAAAGUGGGGGAUCGCAAGACCUCAUGCUCGUGGAGCGGCCGAUAUCUGAUUAGCUAGUUGGUGGGGUAAAGGCCUACCAAGGCAUCGAUCAGUAGCUGGUCUGAGAGGACGACCAGCCACACUGGGACUGAGACGCGGCCCAGACUCCUACGGGAGGCAGCAGUGGGGAAUUUUGGACAAUGGGCGCAAGCCUGAUCCAGCAAUGCCGCGUGAGUGAAGAAGGCCUUCGGGUUGUAAAGCUCUUUUGUCAGGGAAGAAACGGUUCGGGUUAAUACCUUGGGCUAAUGACGGUACCUGAAGAAUAAGCACCGGCUAACUACGUGCCAGCAGCCGCGGUAAUACGUAGGGUGCAAGCGUUAAUCGGAAUUACUGGGCGUAAAGCGUGCGCAGGCGGUUGUGCAAGACAGAUGUGAAAUCCCCGGGCUCAACCUGGGAAUUGCAUUUGUGACUGUACGGCUAGAGUGUGUCAGAGGGGGGUAGAAUUCCACGUGUAGCAGUGAAAUGCGUAGAGAUGUGGAGGAAUACCGAUGGCGAAGGCAGCCCCCUGGGAUAACACUGACGCUCAUGCACGAAAGCGUGGGGAGCAAACAGGAUUAGAUACCCUGGUAGUCCACGCCCUAAACGAUGUCUACUAGUUGUCGGGUCUUUAUUGACUUGGUAACGCAGCUAACGCGUGAAGUAGACCGCCUGGGGAGUACGGUCGCAAGAUUAAAACUCAAAGGAAUUGACGGGGACCCGCACAAGCGGUGGAUGAUGUGGAUUAAUUCGAUGCAACGCGAAAAACCUUACCUACCCUUGACAUGGUCGGAAGCCUCGAGAGAUUGAGGCGUGCUCGAAAGAGAGCCGAUACACAGGUGCUGCAUGGCUGUCGUCAGCUCGUGUCGUGAGAUGUUGGGUUAAGUCCCGCACGAGCGCAACCUUGUCAUAGUGCUACAUUUAGUGGGCACCUCUAAUGGAAACUGCCGUGACAAUCGGAGAGGUGGGAUGACGUUCAGUCUCAUGCCUAUGGUAGGCUCAACGUCAUACAAUGGUACAUACAGAGGGCCUGCUAACUCUCUCGCGCUAAAUGGA
rnacentral:rRNA from 1 species